rnacentral:lncRNA from 1 species
AUAAGCUGAUAAAGCAACAUAUUUCUUUAACCUUCCUUUUAAUGCUUCUUUUCUUUCCAUGGUCCAAUUGGAAGCUUACACAAAACCUUGGCAUCUAAAACAGCGUACUGCUUCUUCAUCUCGAUCAUUGCCUUCUCGGCAAAUGCAUCAACUUUGUCGUCAUACUUCUCAUAGAGCAAAGGAACAGUGUGCAACAACACAAAGACUGAAAAUUUAAACAUCAUUAACAAUAGAUUCAAAUUUUGAACGCAAAAUGCUAUACAAGGUUAAGGCUUAAGAACCCAACUUACUUAUGUAAAACAAGGUUAAGAAGUUGCAGCUACUUCCAAUGGCAGACAAAAUCCAUAGUCCAGCAAUCACCUGGAAAGAAUAUACAGUAUUUUUUGCAUUACAAUCUAUUGAUAUAAAAUUUAAACACUAAAUUAUUUAUCAUUGACAUACACCAAGAAAUUUUUUAAGAUCUUUCCCAGAUGCAAUUUCUCUCAAGACAUGAAGAGCACGAUUGAUAUCAUUCCUCAGACAAAGAGCAGUGUUGACAACUACAUCUUCAGGGAUAUGAACAUCAGGUAUGUGUGGUGUUGAUGACCUAAUUGGAAAUACAAUCCAGAUAAAUUAAUAAAAUAGACAAUCCAUGCAAAACAUAUGAGAUCAUGAGAAUAAAAAGCAAAAACAAGAUCAGGAAAUGAAUUGAUAAGAGAAGAAACCAUUACU